CUAUGCGCCUUGCCAGCCCGCUCAGGUGUGCCAGCAGCCGCGGUAAUACGUAGGGAGCAAGCGUUGUCCGGAAUUACUGGGCGUAAAGGGCGCGUAGGUGGGCGCUUAAGUCAGGUGUGAAAACUCCGGGCUCAACCUGGAGACUGCACUUGAAACUGGGUGUCUUGAGGGCAGGAGAGGAAAGUGGAAUUCCUAGUGUAGCGGUGAAAUGCGUAGAUAUUAGGAGGAACACCAGUGGCGAAGGCGACUUUCUGGACUGUACCUGACGCUGAGCGCGAAAGCGUGGUAGCGAGCGGG
rnacentral:rRNA from 1 species